AAAAAGAAUGCUGGUGAGACAAGAUGAAAAGAGCUCUACAGGUACAACAGGAGCAAUCAGACCCUUUUACAGCAUUGCUGUCAUUCUAGGGCAGGAUAAAGCAUGCUAUAAAUACACACUGCAUUGAGAGAGAGCAAGACUUCGGGAGAGCUGCCAGUUUAACAACACCAGAGUUAAGCUAGGUAGAAGAAAACAUGCUUGAGACUUUCAAGGGAGGUGACUACUGUCCCGAGUGAUCCUACACUGUUAGAUGUCACUGUAGAUUUAGCAGUACAUUACUGUAAAAAUCCACAGUACUAUACUGUAUGUAUAUAUUACAGUAAAGUACUGCAGUUCAUAAUGCAUUCUGGGUAAAUUUGUUUGAGCGGGAAAAUUUUACAGUAUAUUUUGGUCUUGAUGUAACCUUGCUGUAGCCAUUGCUGUAAUGUGCCAGGUGUACUUGCAAUAAUCAGAGAAAGUGCGCCAGAGUCAAAUCACACAGAGGGAGAGAGAGCACAACUCCUGGCUGCAGCUGAAGGAGGACGAUUGAUUUCUGGCAAUUCGUCUUACCAUUGCUUGUAAGCUGGAUUGGGUAAGAUGGAUCAUCUUUAAAGGCACCAGGAGUUAAGGCAGAUGUGGAGGCACAACGGGUGAUACCAGACACACACCAAGCACAUUAUGUUCGGACAUUCAAUCAUGACAUGAUCCAUGUGGAUGCUGUCCAUUGAUGAAAGAGUUUGUUCAGCGGUUUCUGGAUAGAAUUAAUUCCAAAGAUGGGAAAAAGUGCACAUCCAGACAAGGAGCAAGCAAAAAGACAAGGAACUUGGUGCAGAGAAAAGCUGUGGCCAUUAACCCCCAUGUGAACAGCUUCAUGCAGUCGCUGAUUGAGUUCGAAUGGACGACUUCAAAGUAAAGGCCACUGUGGUCUGUCUGCCACAGUUUAAUGCAUUUAUUUUUAGUGUUAAAUGAAAUUUAAGUAGAAUAUUUAAAACUAUGGGCCAGUGUUCUUUUUACCACAGUGAAAUGUUACCUUUUAGUCGAUGAUGGACUUUAAACUGAAAACUUCAAACUAUGGAACAGUGUUCUAUUUGCCAGAGUUAAAUAUGUUACAGCAGGGGUCUCCAAACUUGUUUAUACUUGUUGAUUUUAUUUUAUGUUACUUGAUUAUAUGU